GGAACAACUUCUCUGAGAAGCAGGAGUAAAACUUCAAUCGAUCAGCUGCUUAUUUCUUAAGGAAAAAUGAGUUUAUGAUAGUUCUGCUUGAUUUCAGAUUCUAAGAAAAAUCAGGAAAAACUUUACCCAAGAAAUUUCAUUGUUUGGGUUUGUGUGCUGAUGACUGAAGUAUGUCAAGUUGCUAUCCAGGUCAAGGCAAGAAAGGAGGUAAUGUGGUGUGAUGUUAAGAACACCUGGGAUUGAAGGUGACUAAGCCUGAAUGAGGAAUUUAUCUCUGAGGCCCUCUCCCUUCCACAUUUUUUAUUUUGCAAGGGGGAAGAUGGGCAGCGGGCACAGCUGCACUAUAUAAGCUCUGAGAUGCAUCAUUUCCCAGUUCCUCUCCUGUGGUACAAACUCAUGGAUGUGAAGGGCACAUCUGGCUCUCAUCGGUCGCCCUCUGGAGGCUUGGAGCACAGGGAUCCAAUGCCAAGAUUCUCAUAAACCAAGCAAUGGGGAGAACAGAAAAAGUCUAUGUCCCUCCUUCCAUUCCAGUGUUGGGGUUGAAGGAUGAGCAAAAAAUGAAUAUUUCCGGGUCCUUUGAUACACGUGUCAGGCCUUUGUGGGGAAGAGGAGAGCUUUCAACUGAUGAACAGAGACCGGUGGUGGAGAUGAAGCUGGAGGGUCCUGCUGAUGUGAUGCUGAUGGCAACGAACAAGCAGCUCACAGAGGUGACAUGAGUUGAAAACCUAAGUCGGUUCAAGGAGACUUGAGAAAAACCCAUGCGCAGAACUUCAUUCAGCCACUGGGAACAUUAACAUGAUGAGGGAAACACAAGCCACACACUUCUCCAUACUCAAGCUCCGGAAAUCCUCUGGCCCAAACGCAACAUCCUCCUUCAACCACUGCAGUCACCACCCUGUCGUCUUCUUCUCUGGCCAGGACUCAUUCUGAGAAAGCGGUCCAGGAUCACCCUUCAUAGUGAUUUGUCCACCAUCUUCCUGGGACCUACACCUGAAUAUGGCUGGAUGGUAUAGUGUGAGCCACCUGACGUCAAAGCUGAGAGAGACAUGCCAUUUGCAGGCUAGACAUGCAUAUCACCGGUGCCAAUAUACAGACCUAUAAGGAAACCAACAAGAGUACAAGAUGUUGGUGACAACGAAGGGAUUGGAGGACAACAUAGCAGAUACUGGAGAAUUUGUGCGAGAGGAGGGGACAGGUAAUGAGAAGUUAGACUUACUAAAAUCU